AUCCUCUCUGUUGUGAUUCAUCCCCCCCAGGCCCUACAGUUUCUCCUUCCUGACUCUUACAUUUCUUUGGAUGGCAUCACUAUUCUGGGAUUGCAGUUAGUUGCCAAGCACUGUGGAUUCUACCCCUCAGGGUCCAGACACCCAUUUUCCUUCCCACUGUUCCCUCCCCAUGGAGAAGCCUGUGGCUGACUGACAGCUCAACUUGGAGAAGGUGUUACCUGGGCCAGGUGGGGAAGGUAGGGUUGUUUGCAGAGCAAAGAAGUGAAGCCUAUUCAAUGUGAAAAAGAUGAGGGCGAAGACCUUUAUGAUGAUCCAAGUAAUGAACACACUGGAGAAAGUCAAACAGUCAAAACAAUGUCCCAGACUCCGUGAAGUUCCUGGGUAGAGAAGUAGACAGACGUACACCAUACCUAAUAAUUGGAGGUCCAAGAGAAUGAGAGAAUGGCAGAAAGAACUUUAGAGCAUGGGUAUGAUGGCUAGAGCUUGAGCAGCCAUUGUGGACAUCAGAUGAACCUGAAAGUGAAAACUAUGAGCUGAAUAUGACAAAGCAAAUAGAAAACUGGAUUCAUGAUGACACUGCAAAGCUGCCAGACCAGCUCUAGUCUGCUUCUCCCUAAUCUUCCUUACUAAGAG
rnacentral:antisense_RNA from 1 species